CUAUGGCGCGGGGGCGCACCUCUUCCCAUUCCGAACAGAGAAGUUAAGCCCCGCCGCGACGAUGAUACUGCGGGAGACCGUGGAAAAGUAGUUCGCCGCCCACC
rnacentral:rRNA from 1 species